UACGUAGGGUCCGAGCGUUGUCCGGAAUUACUGGGCGUAAAGAGCUCGUAGGUGGUUUGUCGCGUUGUUCGUGAAAACUCACAACUCAAUUGUGGGCGUGCGGGCGAUACGGGCAGACUUGAGUACUGCAGGGGAGACUGGAAUUCUUGGUGUAGCGGUGAAAUGCGUAGAUAUCAAGAGGAACACCUGAGGUGAAGACGGGUUGCUGGGCCAACACUGACGCUGAUGCGCGAAAGCCAGGGGAGCAAACGGG
rnacentral:rRNA from 1 species